rnacentral:lncRNA from 1 species
UGAUGGUUUUGACACAGUGAUUAAAGCAAAAGCUGCAUUAGAUGCUGUUCCACAGUGCAGAAACAAAGUUUCUUGUGCUGAUAUUCUUGCUUUGGCUACUCGAGAUGUUAUUAAUCUGGUUUGUUCUUCAACUUGAUUUGAAUUAUUUUACGUUAACGCUUUUCGAUUUUUAUAUUAUUUUUUCUCUCUGUGGUCAGACACCACACAUUUGAAUUGGAUUGUUCAUAUGUGUCAAUACGGUGUCUGAGUUAUGUGCACUCAAAUAAUGUGUACAAUUGGUUAUGACACGUGAUAUGAUAUCAAAAUCUAUGGAUAAAAAUAAAACUUUGAUUUAUCACUGUCAAUUUCGUACAUUACAGGCUGGUGGUCCAUCCUAUACAGUAGAAUUGGGAAGGUUUGAUGGUCUAGUUUCAAGAUCU